GACGAACGCUGGCGGCGUGCUUAACACAUGCAAGUCGAGCGGUAAGGCCCUUUCGGGGGUACACGAGCGGCGAACGGGUGAGUAACACGUGGGUGACCCUGCCCUCAGCUCUGGGAUAAGCCUGGGAAACCGGGUCUAAUACCGGAUAUGACUCCAUGACGCAUGUUGUGGGGUGGAAAGCCUUGUGCGGCUGAGGAUGGGCCCGCGGCCUAUCAGCUUGUUGGUGGGGUGAUGGCCUACCAAGGCGACGACGGGUAGCCGGCCUGAGAGGGCGGACGGCCACACUGGGACUGAGACACGGCCCAGACUCCUACGGGAGGCAGCAGUGGGGAAUUUUUCGCAAUGGGGGAAACCCUGACGAAGCAACGCCGCGUGGAGGAUGAAGGCC
rnacentral:rRNA from 1 species